GCAUAUCAAUAAGCGGAGGAAAAGAAAAUAACAAUGAUUUCCCUAGUAACGGCGAGUGAAGAGGAAAGAGCUCAAAGUUGGAACCUGUUUGGCCUAGCUAAACCGGAUUGUAGACUGUAGAAGUGUUUUCCAGGCAAGCCGAGUAAAUAAGUCCUUUGGAACAGGGCAUCAUAGAGGGUGAGAAUCCCGUCUUUGGCUUGAGCAUUUGCCUUUUGUGAUACGCUUUCAAAGAGUCAGGUUGUUUGGGAAUGCAGCCUAAAUUGGGUGGUAAAUCUCACCUAAAGCUAAAUAUUGGCGAGAAACCGAUAGCGAACAAGUACCGUGAGGGAAAGAUGAAAAGAACUUUGAAAAGAGAGUUAAACAGUAUGUGAAAUUGUUAAAAGGGAACCGUUUGGAGCCAGACUGGCUUGUCUGUAAUCAAUCUAGGCUUCGGCCUGGAUGCACUUGCAGGCUAUGCCUGCCAACGACAAUUUGACUUGAGGGAAAAAACUAGGGGAAAUGUGGCCCACUUGUGGGUGUUAUAGUCCCUUAGAAAAUACCUUGGGUUGGAUUGAGGAACGCAGCGAAUGCUUAUUGGCGAGUUUUCCAGGAAGGUUUUCUGAGGUACUACGGUAUCAAGGUUGAUCUUUUUGGUUAUACUUCUAUUCGCUUAGGUUGUUGGCUUAAUGACUCUAAAUGACCCGUCUUGAAACACGGACCAAGGAGUCCACCAUUAGUGCGAGUAUUUGGGUGCCAAACCCAUAUGCGUAAGGAAACUGAUUGAUACGAAUCCAUUAAGGAGGCAGUAUCGUCCGGCGCUGACGUUUUAUACUGAAUUGACCGAGACAAAGCACUAAUGAUGGGACCCGAAAGAUGGUGAACUAUGCCUGAAUAGGGUGAAGCCAGAGGAAACUCUGGUGGAGGCUCGUAGCGAUUCUGACGUGCAAAUCGAUCGUCAAAUUUGGGUAUAGGGGCGAAAGACUAAUCGAACCAUCUAGUAGCUGGUUCCUGCCGA
rnacentral:rRNA from 1 species